UUGGGAAUCUUGGACAAUGGGGGCAACCCUGAUCCAGCAAUGCCGCGUGUGUGAAGAAGGCCUUCGGGUUGUAAAGCACUUUUGUCCGGAAAGAAAACUUCGUCCCUAAUAUGGAUGGAGGAUGACGGUACCGGAAGAAUAAGCACCGGCUCACUACGUGCCAGCAGCCGCGGUAAUACGUAGGGUGCGAGCGUUAAUCGGAAUUACUGGGCGUAAAGCGUGCGCAGGCGGUCUGUUAAGACCGAUGUGAGAUCCCCGGGCUUAACCUGGGAACUGCAUUGGUGACUGGCAGGCUUUGAGUGUGGCAGAGGGGGGUAGAAUUCCACGUGUAGCAGUGAAAUGCGUAGAGAUGUGGAGGAAUACCGAUGGCGAAGGCAGCCCCCUGGGCCAACGCUGACGCUCAUGCACGAAAGCGUGGGGAGCAAAC
rnacentral:rRNA from 1 species